AUGCUUCGACUACCCACAGUCCUUCGUCAGAUGAGACCAGUGUCUAGGGGACUGGCUCCUCAUCUCACUCGGGCUUAUGCCAAAUAUGUAAAAUUUGGUGCAGAUGCCUGAGCCUUAAUGCUUCAAGGUGUAGACCUUUUAGCUGUAGCUGUUACAAUGGGGCCAAAGGGAAGAAAGGUAAUUAUUGAACAGAGUUGGGGAAGUCCCAAAGUAACAAAAGAUGGUGUGACUGUUGCAAAGUCAAUUGAUUUAAAGAAAAAUACAAAAAAUAUUGGAGCUAAACUUGUUCAAGAUGUUGCCAAUAAUACAAAUGAAGAGGCCGGGGAUGGCACCACCACUGCUACUGUACUGGCACACUCUAUUGCCAAAGAAGGCUUCGAGAAGAUUAGCAAAGGUGCUAAUCCAGUGGAAAUCAGGAGAGGUGUGAUGUUAGCUGUUGAUGCUGUAAUUGCUGAACUCAAGAAGCAGUCUAAACCUGUGACAACCCCUGAAGAAAUUGCUCAGGUUGCUACCAUUUCUGCAAAUGGAGACAAAGAAAUUGGCAACAUUAUUUCUGGUGCAAUGAAAAAGGUUGGAAGAAAGGGUGUGAUCACAGUAAAGGAUGGAAAAACACUUGAGGAUGAAUUAGAAAUUAUUGAAGGCGUGAAGUUUGAUAGAGGCUAUAUCUCUCCAUACUUUAUUAAUACAUCAAGAGGCAGAAAUGUGAAUUCCAGGAUGCUUAUGUUCUGUUGAGUGAAAAGAAAAUUUCUAGCAUCCAGUCCAUUGUACCUGCUCUUGAAAUUGCCAAUGCUCACCACAAACCAUUGGUCAUAAUUGCUGAAGAUGUUGAUGGAGAAUCUCUAAGUACACUUGUUUUGAAUAGGCUAAAAGUUGGUCUUCAGGUUGUGGCAGUUAAAGCUCCAGGUUUUGGUGACAACAGAAAGAACCAACUUAAAGAUAUGGCUAUUGCUACUGGUGGUGCAGUGUUUGGUGAGGAGGUUUUGACCCUAAAUAUUGAAGAUGUUCAGCCUCCAUGAUUUAGGAAAAGUUGGAGAAGUCAUUGUCACCAAAGAUGAUGCCAUGCUUUUGAAAGGAAAAGGUGAUGAAGCUCAAAUUGAAAAGCAUAUUCAAGAAAUCACAGAGCAAUUAGAAACCACAAAUAGUGAAUAUGAAAAGGAAAAACUGAAUGAACGACUGGCAAAACUUUCAGAUGGAGUAGCUGGGCUGAAGGUUGGUGGGACAAGUAACGUUGAAGUGAAUGAAAAGAAAGACAAAGUUACAGAUGCCCUCAAUGCUACAAGAGCUGCCGUUGAAGAAGACAUUGUUCUGGGUGGGGGAAUGUGCUCUGCUUCGGUGCAUUCCAGCCUUGGACUCACUAACUCCAGCUAAUGAGGAUCAGAAAAUUGGUAUAGAAAUCAUUAAAAAAAAAAAACAACACUUAAAAUUCCUGCAAUGACCAUUGCUAAGAAUGCAGGUGUUGAAGGCUCUUUGAUAGUUGAGAAAAUUCUGCAGAGUUCCUCAGAAGUUGGCUAUGAUGCUAUGCUUGGAGAUUUUGUGAAUAUGGUAGAAAAAGGACUCAUUGGUCCAACAAAGGUUUUAAGAACUGCCUUACUGGAUGCUGCUGGUAUUGCUUCUCUGUUAAGUACAGCAGAAGUCAUAGUCACAGAAAUUCCUAAAGAAGAAAAGGACCCUGGAAUGGGCACAAUGGGUGGAAUGGGAAGUGGUAUGGGAGGUGGCAUGUUCUAA